GGAGCGCCGCGGCUCCAGAGGCAGCCCUUCCCGGGACUGGGCGCAGUAGAGGCUGGGGUCAGAGACCGCGCGUCCCGGACACCGCUCCGGUGAGGACGCUGAGGGCUGCGGUCCCACGCCUGCCUCUUUGUUCCGUCCGGGCGGCGCAGGCCCGGGCUCGGCGGCCCCUGCCCUCACCUUGUAGACGUCGCCGUAGGUGCCGCUGCCUAUGCGUUGGAUCAGCUCGAAGUCCUCCUGCGGGUUCCGGCGGGACAGGUCGAAGCCCGGGUUCAUGGCGGGCCCCGGGUGCCCCCCGCCUCCCUCCCGGCCCGGGGAGGGGGGGCGCUCAGGGGGGCCGCACGGAGGGAGCGCCCGCGGCCGGCCCGGCUCCGCCGCCGGUCACAAUCGCCCGGCUGCACGCCGCGGCCG
rnacentral:lncRNA from 1 species